UGCAUAGAGUGUUCGAGCUGUUAGGUGGAUGACUAGGCUCAUAGUGGUGAUGAAGGGCGUGGCAAGCUACGAAAUGCCCAGGGUAGGCGCAUGCAGCCUCUGAUCCUGGGGUUCCUGAAUGUGACUUCACUAUAGAUCCGUAAGGAUAGCGAGACGCAGGGAAUUGAAGCGUCUUAGUACCUGCAGGAAAAGAAAUCAAACGAGAUGCUGUAAGUAACGGCGAGUGAAAGCAGCACAAGGCAAACUGAUACUUUGCAGUAAUGUAAAGUAGAUGACGUGUUCGGACUGCUUUUUAUCCUUUUUUGUGACCCAAAUACUUCUGGAAAGUUGGACCGCAGAGGGUGAUAGUCCCGUAGGGGAAAUGAAAGGGGAUUUUAGCAGUAUCCAGAGUAUCAGCUAUUGGAAAUUAGCUGAGAAUCCGGGAGGCAUCAACUCCCAACCUUAAAUACAAUAUGAGUCCGAUAGCGUACGAGUACCGCGAGGGAAAGUUGAAAAGUACCCAUAACAGGGGGUUAAAAGUACCUGAAACCUAACAGUGAUAGUGAGAUACGGCUCUACGGAGUUGUAUCGUUCGUUUCGAAUAACGAGCCAGGGAGUGUGUCAAUAUGGCAAGGGCAAUUCUUAAAAGGAAGGACCCGCAGCGAAAGCAAAAUCGCGCAGCCUGCAAGGCGAAAGGUAUAAAUAAUGCCUUUAAGUCAUAUGGGCACGAUCUGAAACCGGGUGAUCUAACCCAGGACAAGGUGAAGCCCCCGUAAAAAGGGGUGGAGGCCUGAAGGGGUUCUGUGAACAAGCGUUCCUCUGAUCUUGGGCUAGGGGUGAAAAGCCAAUCGAACCCGGUGAUAGCAGGUUCCUGCCAAAAUUGGCCGUAGUCAAGCCUUGACCGAGAUUGCAAUGAAGGUAGAGAAACGGAUUUAGAAUUUAGGGCCCGAAAGGACUCGGUUCUUUGUCCAACUCCGAAUUUUAUUGCAUCGUAGACGUCAGGAAACGGGUAAUCUUGGGGUAAACUUGAUUACCGAGAGGGGAACAACCCAAACUACAGUUAAGGUCCUUAAGUGCCGAUUAAGUGCUAAAGGGUGAAGGGUGUCUUCAGCCUAAGACAGCAAGGAGGUUGGCUUAGAAGCAGCCACCCUAUAAUAAGUGCGUAACAGCUUACUUGUCAAGGUUGAUGGCCUUGAAAAUGGACGGGGCUAAAUCGGUCACCGAUACUGUGGACGCCUGAAAAGGCAGUGGUAGGCAGGCAUUCUGGUCAGGCAGAAGCAUUUCCUGAAGGAUUUGUGGACUGACUUGAAUAGAGAAUCCUGGCGGUAGUAGGAACUGAGCACUGUGAGAAUCAGUGCCACCGAAAGGGCAAGGGUUCCUUGACAAUGCAAAUCAGUCAAGGGGUAAUCGGUCCUAACCAAUCUCCUAAUAGGAGUAAUGGGAAAGGGAAACAGGUUAAUAAUCCUGUAUUGUCUAUUUAUGUGCGGCAACGCAAGCUUUAUUCCCGACUCUUCCGGCUAGAUCAACAGAUAUCAUCUUAUCUGCUAAUAACAGAAAAUCAGAGGAGUAUCGUAAUGAUGAGAACCUGAUUAAGGUUAGAAUGGUAUCCCGUAUGGGGUAUUUGGUUCAUGCCUGGAGACCGUGAAAAGGGAAAAAAGAAAAACUUUAGAUAUCCGUACCAAGAACCAGCACAGGUGCCCCUAGGUGAGAAGCCUAAGGUGUGAAGGAUUAAGGUAAUUGAGGGAAUUCGGCAACCUAGCCCCGUAGCUUCGGUUUAAGGGGUCCCUGCGGUGGUCUUCUUUUGAAGGCGAUUGCAGGGUGCAAUGACAAGGGAGGUCCGACUGUUUAACAAAAACUUAACGUUCUGCAAGUCUGAAAAGAUGUGAAUAGAACGUGACACCUGCCCAGUACCAGUAAUUCAAACUCUCUUUCAAGGGAGCUAAGAUCUGGCAAACGGCGGGAGUAACUAUAACUCUCUUAAGGUAGCGAAAUGCCUUGCCGUUUAAUUGACGGCCCGCAUGAGUGGUGCAACGAGAUCUCCGCUGUCCCCAAUUAGCAUCCUCCGAACACUCUGUCUGGUGCAAAGGCCAGAGUAUUCCAGUGGGAAGUGAAGACCCCGCGAAACUUUACUGUAGCCUGUUGUUGUGACGUGAGUUUUGGUGUGUAGAAUAGAUGGGAGUUGCUAAAGCGUGAUCGCUAGAUUGCGUGUAGACGCCGUUGAAAUACCAUCCUCCAGAACUUACGCUGCUUACUUGAAAGAGGACAGCAAUUGGUGGACAGUUUGGCUGGGGUGGCACCCUGUUGAAAAGAUAUCAACAGGGCCCUAUGGUUGGCUCAACUGGGUCAGAAAUCCGGUGUAGAGUGCAAGUGCAAAAGCCAGCCUGAUUGGAUUUCCCAAUCUACGAAAUCCAACCACGAAAGUGUGGUCUAGCGAACUCUUGAACCUCCUUGAUGGGGGUCAGGAAUGACAAAAAAGUUACUCCGGGGAUAACAGAGUUGUCCCGCCUAAGAGCUCAUAUCGACGGCGGGGCUUGCUACAUCGAUGUCGGCUCUUCCUAUCCUGGCUGUGCAGAAGCAGCCAAGGGUGGGGGUGUUCACCCAUUAAAAGGGAUCGUGAGCUGGGUUCAGAACGUUGUGAGACAGUUUGUUUAAUAUCUACUGGAAUUGUUUGAUAUCUGAGAGGAAGGAUCUUUUAGUACGAGAGGAACAAAGGUUCGGCGCCUCUGGUCAACCGGUUGUCUGAUAAGGCAGGCCGGGCAGCUACGCGCUAAGGGAUAAGAGCUGAAAGCAUCUAAGCUUGAAGCCCGCCUCGAAAAGAGAUAUCAUAGAGCUCCUGUAAAAGACAGGUUUAAUAGAACCGGUGUGUACACGCCAAGGUCACGAGGCGUUCAGCAUGCGGUCACUAAAAGCUCAUUACUUACUCUAUGCA
rfam:Archaeon GW2011_AR15 chromosome.